GGGAAGCCAUAAUCAGAGCCAAGAAGAGGGGGUUUGUUUGUAUGUGUGUUUGUUUUUCUUCUGGCACUAAUGAUAGGACUAAGAAAACAGCCCCUAACUUAAUUAGGGAGAAAGGUAUGGUCUAAGGAGAGAGCAGAACAAUUUCUGGAAAGGAGUAUUAGGAAGAACAACUUGGGAGCUUGGGAGCAGAACCAGACGUUUGUUUGUCAGUGUCUUUUCCAGCAGAUGAAAAAUGGAAUGGGAGAACGAUCUGGAGAGGGUACAGUUGGAGAGGACCCACAACUCAGAGCCAGUUUUCUUUAAUAAAAGAACCAAGGAGGGGGAGACAGGAAACUCUGGAGCUUCGCUCUGACUUCAGCUUUUGGAAAGAUCUAUACUUUUUUAAAUGGAGCUGUUUGAGAUGGACGGCUUCAAGCUUCCUAGGGGGGACUUGGAUGACUCUGAGAAGCAGGGCAGGUUUUGGCCACAGUGGGAGUUCCCCCUUCUCUGGGUCACUGAGCAGAGAGCACUGAAGGAGGAGGCCGGAUCCUGGCUUGGAGCUGGACUCUGCUUGGUCGGAAAUGCCCACACCUCGUCUUCCUUCCUCCAGGUCCUCACUGCGGCAGGGACCCAAAAGGAGGAGUUGGAAGAAAAAACAAUAGAUUUUUGUUAACUGAUUAAUUAAGCACUACAAAUGAAGAAUGUCAUGGGUACUUUCAGAUGAGGUCAUUCAGUUAUUAAUCUUACAUAACUGUUUUACUUUGUUAUAAGAGACUUCUCACAAAGAACAUCUGAAAAUGUUUGUAAUAUAAAAACAAAAUUAUCAAUAUAAUUGAAAGUAAAAAUAAAUCAGAAAAAAAUCCCCA
rnacentral:lncRNA from 1 species